rnacentral:rRNA from 1 species
UGUCAGAGCCGCGGUAAUACAGAGGGUGCAAGCGUUAAUCGGAUUUACUGGGCGUAAAGCGCGCGUAGGUGGCCAAUUAAGUCAAAUGUGAAAUCCCCGAGCUUAACUUGGGAAUUGCAUUCGAUACUGGUUGGCUAGAGUAUGGGAGAGGAUGGUGGAAUUCCAGGUGUAGCGGUGAAAUGCGUAGAGAUCUGGAGGAAUACCGAUGGCGAAGGCAGCCAUCUGGCCUAAUACUGACACUGAGGUGCGAAAGCAUGGGGAGCAAACAGGAUUAGCAACCCUUGUAGUCC